rnacentral:rRNA from 1 species
CAUGAAGCUGGAAUCGCUAGUAAUCGCGGAUCAGAAUGCCGCGGUGAAUACGUUCCCGGGUCUUGUACACACCGCCCGUCACACCAUGGGAGUCGGAAAUGCCCGAAGUCUGUGACCCAACCGGAAGGAAGGAGCAGCCGAAGGCAGGUCUGAUGACUGGGGUGAAGUCGUAACAAGGUAAC